GACGAACGCUGGCGGCGUGCCUAAUACAUGCAAGUAGAACGCACAGUUUAUACCGUAGCUUGCUACACCAUAAACUGUGAGUUGCGAACGGGUGAGUAACGCGUAGGUAACCUGCCUGGUAGCGGGGGAUAACUAUUGGAAACGAUAGCUAAUACCGCAUAAUAUUGAUUAUUGCAUGAUAAUUGAUUGAAAGAUGCUAUUGCAUCACUACCAGAUGGACCUGCGUUGUAUUAGCUAGUGGGUGAGGUAACGGCUCACCUAGGCGACGAUACAUAGCCGACCUGAGGGGGUGAUCGGCCACACUGGGACUGAGACACGGCCCAGACUCCUACGGGAGGCAGCAGUAGGGAAUCUUCGGCAAUGGACGAAAGUCUGACCGAGCAACGCCGCGUGAGUGAAGAAGGUUUUCGGAUCGUAAAGCUCUGUUGUAAGAGAAGAACGGGUGUGAGAGUGGAAAGUUCACACUGUGACGGUAUCUUACCAGAAAGGGACGGCUAACUACGUG
rnacentral:rRNA from 1 species